UGGGGAAUUUUGGACAAUGGGCGAAAGCCUGAUCCAGCAAUGCCGCGUGUGUGAAGAAGGCCUUCGGGUUGUAAAGCACUUUUGUCCGGAAAGAAAUCCUUGGCUCUAAUACAGUCGGGGGAUGACGGUACCGGAAGAAUAAGCACCGGCUAACUACGUGCCAGCAGCCGCGGUAAUACGUAGGGUGCAAGCGUUAAUCGGAAUUACUGGGCGUAAAGCGUGCGCAGGCGGUUUGCUAAGACCGAUGUGAAAUCCCCGGGCUCAACCUGGGAACUGCAUUGGUGACUGGCAGGCUAGAGUAUGGCAGAGGGGGGUAGAAUUCCACGUGUAGCAGUGAAAUGCGUAGAGAUGUGGAGGAAUACCGAUGGCGAAGGCAGCCCCCUGGGCCAAUACUGACGCUCAUGCACGAAAGCGUGGGGAGCAAACAGGAUUAGAUACCCUGGUAGUCCACGCCCUAAACGAUGUCAACUAGUUGUUGGGGAUUCAUUCCUUAGUAACGUAGCUGACGCGUGAAGUUGACCGCCUGGGGAGUACGGUCGCAAGAUUAAAACUCAAAGGAAUUG
rnacentral:rRNA from 1 species